rnacentral:rRNA from 1 species
GACGAACGCUGGCGGCGUGCUUAACACAUGCAAGUCGAACGGAGUGUCGAACGGGUGAGUAACACGUGGGUGAUCUGCCUUGCACUUCGGGAUAAGCUUGGGAAACUGGGUCUAAUACCGGAUAGUGCAAGAUGAGCUCGCGGCCUAUCAGCUUGUUGGUGGGGUAAUUGCCUACGAAGGCGUGGACGGGUCGCCGGCCUGAGAGGGUGUACGGCCCCAUUGGGCCUCGGAUGCGGGCCAGACGGCUACGGGAGGCAUGAGUGGGUAAUAGUGCACAAUGGGCGGAAGCCGGAAGCAGCGACGCCGGGUGGGGGAGGAAGGCCUUCGGGUUGGAAACUCCUUUCGACAGGGACGCGGUACCUGUAUAAGAAGCACCGGCUAACUACGUGCCAGCAGCCGCGGUAAUAC